CUGGCCAAUAGACCUAAAAGGUUAUCAUAGGCAAAGCACUCACUGUAUCUCUUCCUAACUUCCCAACUACUCCAGAAGACAGAUCCCCAAAGGAGAUUUCCACAUGAGAGGGCACACCAGAUUCAACUCAAGUCAAAGGCCAACUGACUUGCUUAUGUUAGGCCUAGUAGGGCUGGAAAAGAGCUGGAAGCCCUAUCUCCAUGGAGCUGAUGCAGUUAAUUGGAGCGUCUUGAAAGUGCACAUUAACACAGAGAGAGCGGCGGAGACGGCUUGGCAGCGGAAUAUCGUUAUCACUUCUUGAGCUCCAGCCAAAAUCCCCUUGCGGUCAAAACACAAUUCUUUAAACUAAACAAUUAAAGAUUUGUGCGAGCGUGG
rnacentral:lncRNA from 1 species